rnacentral:SRP_RNA from 1 species
GCCAAGCAUGGUGGCGCAUGCCUGUAAUCCCAGCUACUCAGGAGGCUGAGGCAGGAGAAUCGCUUGAACCCAGGAGGCAGAGGUUGCAGUGAGCCGAGAUUGUGCCAUUGCACUCCAGCCUGGGUGACAGAGCGAGAUUCUGUCUCAA